GACGUAGGGCGCGAGCGUUGUCCGGAUUUAUUGGGCGUAAAGAGCUCGUAGGCGGCUUGUCGCGUCGUUCGUGAAAACCUGCAGCUCAACUGCAGGCUUGCGGUCGAUACGGGCAGGCUGGAGUUCGGUAGGGGAGACUGGAAUUCCUGGUGUAGCGGUGAAAUGCGCAGAUAUCAGGAGGAACACCGGUGGCGAAGGCGGGUCUCUGGGCCACUACUGACGCUGAGAAGCGAAAGCGUGGGGAGCGAACAGG
rnacentral:rRNA from 1 species